rnacentral:lncRNA from 1 species
UAAGGAAGAGGAUUAGUGUGAAAAAGAGGAAAGUAUCAGUUGCAGAUAGCUUCUUGGUGCUGGAACCCCACCCUGGCUUAAACCAUUUUUGAGAGGGAGGUAAGGGAUGGAGGGAGAAAUGGAGAGAAUGGGAAAGGAGAGGGAGAGAGAGAGAGAGAGAGAGAGAGAGAGAGAGAGAGAGAGAGAGAGAGAGAGAGAGAGAACUCGAGGUAGGUAGGUGGUAGAUCUAAGAGUUACAGAACAGUGAAAACAGAAGUAGAUGGAAACAUGAGAAGCUAGAGCAGCCAUGGAAACCAUGCCCUGGAUCAAGUAACAAUCUCUCUUCUUUACCUUCCUCUGUGAAGUGGAUGUAUGGUGUGUGUGCCUUGAAAGGUUGCUGUGAGCAUAAAGUUAAUUCCCACAUCCCAAGCACUUAACAACAGUGACAGCAGCCAGUGCCAGUCAGCCUUGUACUCUAACUGAUUAUCAUCUAACAUGUAA